UACGUAGGGUGCGAGCGUUGUCCGGAAUUAUUGGGCGUAAAGAGCUUGUAGGCGGUUUGUCGCGUCUGCUGUGAAAAUCCGGGGCUCAACCCCGGACUUGCAGUGGGUACGGGCAGACUAGAGUGUGGUAGGGGAGACUGGAAUUCCUGGUGUAGCGGUGAAAUGCGCAGAUAUCAGGAGGAACACCGAGGGCGAAGGCAGGUCUCUGGGCCACUACUGACGCUGAGAAGCGAAAGCAUGGGGAGCGAACAGG
rnacentral:rRNA from 1 species